CUUGUGCUGCAGUGUGGUGGGAAGGGUGGUUGGUUGUGUGAUGUGCUCCUGAUGAGCAGCUUGGUCCAACAUCCCAAAGCUUGGCUGUGAAACCAGAUGCCAACCUCGUGCUCUGGGCCCUUUCUGGCCAGAAGUGCUGGAAGGAAGCAGCCUGCAAGCACUGCGCUCCCCCCUCAUCAGGAGAGAGGAAUUUUGGCCUGGAAUGCCACGAAUGCUGAUGCACCCAAAAGUUGAGCUGCUUCCAGAAGAUGCUCUUCAGUACAUGGGGAGAUGCUGCAGUGGUGGCUCAUAGUCAGCUCUCCAGUUGUGUGGUUUUGGCCUCUGCAUGGCCUGGUGUUAGAUCACUGUCUCCCUUGUUGGUACUGGAAAGCCUGUAGCUUUAGAUUCCUAAGGGCAACCAUGACAGCCUGAUGUUUUAGUGCUGAGGAAUCAACUAGUGAUAGGAAAAAUAGUAAUUUUUCAGAAAGGAACAGGAGGAAAACAAGCCAGAAGGGGCAAAAUGCACCAGUUAGCCCUCUUGCCCCCAUAUCUUACUAAAGACUGAGGAAUAAGAGCAGAUUCUGGGGGGUUACCUGGAGCAGUGUGCUAAAGCUGCCUUGGGAUGAGGUAGAGAGAACGUCCAAGUCAACCUUCAGGGAUGAGUUUCAGAGUCAUAGAUGGAGUAGUUUAAUGUGAACUUCGGGCACUUUUGGUCUCAAAGCUGACUCGGUUUCUCAACUUUGUUAUCCGGCCUCUAAAAAUGUAAGGAUGAGGCAGAAGAGAGCCAGGAGAAGGCAGUUCUGUCCGGUUUGCAGAAAGAGAAACCAGAAAUGCCUCCGUGCUGCCGCGUUCCUUGUCACAGUGAUGGAUUGGGGACGUCGCAUGAAAUCAAAUAGAAAACAAAUAAACUGCAUGUGACUCAGGGAGGGGGUAGGUUUGGUUUGCAGGAUCUGCAUCCACAUUUUCUUUGGCUUCGAUCCAGGUGGCUCAGCACCCCUUGGAGCCACUUAAAUAAACCCGACUCUGAAAGCAAAAGCUCUGCCAGAGCUCCCAGUCUCACUCACCCUCACGUUCACACCAGAGGAAGGGGAAAUGGCUCCCGAGGUGGCCACAAGGGCCAAAGAUCUUCUCAGAAGGUCUGUGUUCCUUGCAUGCAUGAAAGGAAAGCCUCACAGCCGUCUUCAUGGGGGUUGUAAGCUGUGCCAUGAGGGUUCUGUGCAAUACAGUGCCUGGGUUU
ensembl:lncRNA